rnacentral:rRNA from 1 species
UACGAAGGGGGCUAGCGUUGCUCGGAAUCACUGGGCGUAAAGCGCACGUAGGCGGCUUUCUAAGUCAGGGGUGAAAUCCUGGAGCUCAACUCCAGAACUGCCUUUGAUACUGAGAGUCUUGAGUACGGGAGAGGUGAGUGGAAUUGCGAGUGUAGAGGUGAAAUUCGUAGAUAUUCGCAAGAACACCAGUGGCGAAGGCGGCUUACUGGUCCGGUUCUGACGCUGAGGCGCGAAAGCGUGGGGAGCAAACAGG